AGAGAAGUUGUCAGUAGUUGGUUUUGAGGGGAUUGUUUUGUGUUUGUUCUUCCUAAGUGGUUGGACUGUGUACUUCCGAAGAAAGCAGACAGUUACCGUGUCAGGAGCUGGGGGAGGGAGGAUUCAGAUGAACUCCAGGUUCUAAUUCAAAGUUUCUAGUUUUAAGACUAUGUCCUCUAUUUGAAGUCCGAUUUUAAUGAUGACAAUAGUUUUAAUGCUGCUGAGUUUCGCAAACAAUGGAGGGUCAACCGUGCACUAUUUGCAGCUUGCAAUUGGUUUUGUUCUUAUUCUCAUUUUUGUAGUGAAAUGGCUAGUGUUUCAUUUUUAUGUGUAAUGAUUUUUCUGAAUUGUAGCCUCUGUAUAACCAUUGUAUCAUAGAUAAAAAGUUUCUAUAAUUGUAUUU
rnacentral:misc_RNA from 1 species